UGGACCUACGGGGGGCAGCAGUGAGGAAUAUUGGUCAAUGGCCGAGAGGCUGAACCAGCCAAGUCGCGUGAGGGAUGACGGCCCUACGGGUUGUAAACCUCUUUUGUCGGGGAGCAAGACCCGCCACGAGUGGCGGAGCGAGAGUACCCGAAGAAAAAGCAUCGGCUAACUCCGUGCCAGCAGCCGCGGUAAUACGGAGGAUGCGAGCGUUAUCCGGAUUUAUUGGGUUUAAAGGGUGCGCAGGCGGCGAGUUAAGUCAGCGGUAAAAUUUCGGGGCUCAACCCCGACGAGCCGUUGAAACUGGG
rnacentral:rRNA from 1 species